CAGUAGCCGCGGGAAAACGAAGGGUGCAAGCGUUAAUCGGAAUUACUGGGCGUAAAGCGCGCGUAGGCGGUUACUCAAGUCAGAGGUGAAAGCCCGGGGCUCAACCCCGGAACUGCCUUUGAAACUAGGUGACUAGAAUCUUGGAGAGGUCAGUGGAAUUCCGAGUGUAGAGGUGAAAUUCGUAGAUAUUCGGAAGAACACCAGUGGCGAAGGCGACUGACUGGACAAGUAUUGACGCUGAGGUGCGAAAGCGUGGGGAGCAAACAGGAUUAGAUACCCCUGUAGUCCCUGUCUCUUAUAC
rnacentral:rRNA from 1 species